rnacentral:tRNA from 1 species
GGUGCGGUGGCCGAGCGGUUGAAGGCGCGCGACUUGAAAUCGCGUAGACCCGAAAGGGUCUCGUGGGUUCGAAUCCCACCCGCACCG